GCGCCCGUGGCUCAGUUGGCAGAGCAGUGGGACGGUACCCCACGGUCUCAGGUUCAAGUCCCGGCGGUCGCU